rnacentral:rRNA from 1 species
UCCGUAGGUGGAUAAUUAAGUCAGAGGUGAAAUCCUGCAGCUCAACUGUAGAAUUGCCUUUGAUACUGGUUAUCUUGAGUCAUUAUGAAGUGGCUAGAAUGUGUAGUGUAGCGGUGAAAUGCAUAGAUAUUACACAGAAUACCGAUUGCGAAGGCAGAUCACUAAUAAUGUACUGACACUGAGGGACGAAAGCGUGGGGAGCGAACAGGAUUAGAUACCCUGGUAGUCC